rnacentral:rRNA from 1 species
CGUGAUCCGCCCUUCGGGGUGGUGAAAGUGGCGCACGGGUGAGUAACGCGUGGAUAAUCUGCCCGAGGAUUUGGGAUAACAUCUCGAAAGGGGUGCUAAUACCGAAUAAGCCCACGGGGUCUACGGAUCUUGCGGGAAAAGGGGGGGACCUUCGGGCCUCCUGUCCUUGGAUGAGUCUGCGUACCAUUAGCUAGUUGGUGGGGUAAUGGCCUACCAAGGCGACGAUGGUUAGCUGGUCUGAGAGGAUGAUCAGCCACACUGGAACUGAGACACGGUCCAGACUCCUACGGGAGGCAGCAGUGGGGAAUUUUGCGCAAUGGGGGAAACCCUGACGCAGCAACGCCGCGUGGGUGAUGAAGGCCUUCGGGUCGUAAAGCUCUGUCUGGAGGGAAGAAAUGAUUGGGAGCUAAUACCUCUUGAUCUUGACGGUACCUCUGAAGGAAGCACCGGCUAACUCCGUGCCAGCAGCCGCGGUAAUACGGAGGGUGCAAGCGUUGUUCGGAAUUAUUGGGCGUAAAGCGCGUGUAGGCGGUCUUUUAAGUCUGAUGUG